UUUCCCUCUCCCUUUUCUUCAUUUGUGUCCAGUGAGGGCAUCACCAGUUGAGUAGACUCCAUUGUUAAUCCUACAGUCCUCAGUCCUCAGCGAGUCUAUCAAUUCCUCCUCAGAAUCUUCCUCUUCCUCCUCUGGGGCUGACAGACUGGAUGUGGGGCCUUUACAUAUCUUUAAGUGGCGAGUGAGGUGAUAUUUGGUUAGAUAAGCCUUGGUGCAUUUUUCACAGACAUAGUCUCUCUUUCCUUCAUGUGAGUUGAGAUGCUUCUUCAGAUGAUUUGUCCUCAGAAACAGCUUGUCACACUUGGGGCACUUGAUCUGCCGUUCUUGUGUGUGGGUAAGUACGUGCUGCUUGAGGUCCUGCCUCCGCAUGAACAGCUUUUCACAGUAAUCACACUUCAGAUUCUUC
rnacentral:lncRNA from 1 species